AACGUAGGAGGCAAGCGUUAUCCGGAUUUAUUGGGCGUAAAGCGCGUGCAGGCUGUUUGGAAAGUUGGAUGUGAAAGCUCCUGGCUUAACUGGGAGAGGUCGUUCAAAACUACCAAACUAGAGAAUGGGAGAGGGAAGUGGAAUUCCGGGUGUAGUGGUGAAAUGCGUAGAUAUCCGGAGGAACACCAGUGGCGAAAGCGGCUUCCUGGACCAUUUCUGACGCUUAGACGCGAAAGCUAGGGGAGCGAACGGG
rnacentral:rRNA from 2 species